UCCUUUUUCAGGUUCAGGAGUCCCUUUUCUUUAUAUCGAGUUUAUUUUGAUGACUAUUUCCUCCGUGGAUUUCGAGCAAUACAAGAAGCAUCCCGGCUUUCCAAUCCAUUCGCUGGUCUUAACAUGUCCCGCUUCACCCAGAACUUCAAUUUGGCCUGAAGCGAGCUUAUCAUCAAUCUGUUUCCUUCACCUUCUGUUCUUGUUGGAUUAAGGUUACAAAGUUGUGGGUGCUCCAUUACUGCUGGAAACUUUAUUAUGUCUACCGCAAAUAAUGAAGGCAGUUGCAGCUUGUUGGGGAAUGGAGUUGUUGGAAUCCUUGCUGAGUCUAUCAACAUAUGGGAGAGAAGAGCACCACUGACUCCAUCCCACUGUGCCCGCCUUCUACUUGGCGGCAAGGGUAAAACUGGAGUUGAACGUAUCAUUGUGCAGCCAAGCACAAAGCGUAUCCAUCACGAUGCUCAGUAUGAGGAUGUUGGGUGUGAAAUAUCGGAUGAUCUAUCUGAAUGCGGUCUCAUUAUUGGGAUCAAACAACCAAAGUUGGAGAUGGUUCUUCCAGAUAGAGCAUAUGCCUUCUUCUCCCACACCCACAAGGCCCAGAAAGAAAACAUGCCUCUUUUAGAUAAGAUUCUUGCUGAAAGGGUGUCUUUAUAUGACUAUGAGCUUAUUGUGGGGAAUAAUGGGAAAAGAUUUAUGGCAUUUGGAAAAUUUGCUGGUAGAGCUGGGCUGAUUGACUUCUUACAUGGGCUAGGACAACGAUACUUGACUCUGGGAUAUUCAACACCUUUCCUGUCACUUGGGGCAUCUCAUAUGUAUUCUUCUCUUGCUGCAGCGAAAGCUGCAGUCAUUGCUGUGGGUGAAGAAAUAGCCACCCUGGGACUGCCAUCUGGAAUUACUCCUAUAGUCUUUGUAUUCACCGGGGAUGGAAAUGUUUCUCAGGGUGCACAAGAGAUAUUUAAGCUCUUACCUCAUACCUUCGUGGAUGCUCACAGACUUCCAGAACUUUUUAGACCGGCUGGAGAUUUAGCUCAACAUUCUCAACCAAUGAGGAGAGUCUCUCAAGUAUAUGGAUGUGUUGUGACUUGUCAAGACAUGGUUGCACCCCGGGAUUCUACUAAAAGUUUUGAUAAAGCUGAUUAUUAUGCCCAUCCAGAACACUAUUAUCCUGUUUUUCAUGAAAGAAUCGCUCCAUAUGCAUCUGUCAUCGUGAAUUGUAUGUAUUGGGAGAAAAGAUUUCCUCGGUUGCUGACUACUAAGCAGCUGCAAGAACUGACGAAGAAAGGAUGUCCACUUGUUGGAGUUUCUGAUAUAACUUGUGAUAUUGGUGGUUCAAUUGAAUUUGUUAACCAAACUACAUUUAUAGAGAGGCCUUUCUUCAGGUAUGACCCAUUCACUGAUUCAUACCAUGCUGACAUGGAGGGUGAUGGUGUAAUUUGCUUAGCUGUUGACAUCCUCCCAACAGAGUUUUCCAGGGAGGCUUCUCAACAUUUUGGAGAUAUUCUAUCUCAAUUCGUUGGUAGAUUGGCUUCAGCUAGGAGCAUAAUGGAGCUGCCAUCUCACUUGAGAAAAGCGUGCAUAGCUCAUGCUGGAGCACUUACUUCUUUGUACGAAUAUAUUCCUCGAAUGAGAAAAACUUCAACAGAUCCAUCAUCAAAUCAAACAAAUGAUUCAUCUAGCAAGAAGAAGUACACAACACUGGUAUCUCUUAGUGGUCACUUGUUUGAUCAAUUUUUAAUUAAUGAUGCUCUGGAUGUUAUUGAAGCUGCUGGUGGAUCUUUUCGCUUGGUUAGAUGUGAUGUGGGUCAAAGUUCAAAUGCCAUGUCCUAUUCAGAACUUGAAGUUGCUGCUGAUGACACUGCCAUCCUUGAUAAGAUAAUAGAUUCCCUAACUUCUAUUGCAAAUCCAAGUAAAGAUGGAGUCUUCAACAAAGAAAAAGAAUUAUCUUUGAAGAUAGGCAAAGUUAGUGAAAGCAAAGUGGAGGUCAGAAGUAGCAUUAAGAAAGUUCCAGCAGUUUUAAUUCUUGGUGCAGGCCGUGUUUGCCGACCAGCUGCUGAAUUUUUAGCAUCAGGAGGGAGCAUAUCCUGCAGUGACUCCUUAAAAACAUGUCAGGGUAUUAAUGUUGAAGAAAUUGAAGGACUUCAACUUAUUGUAGCAUCUCUUUACCUGAAGGAUGCAGAAGAGACUAUUGAAGGUAUUCAAAAUGCAACAGCUAUUCAACUUGAUGCUAUGGAUUACGGAAGGCUGUCUGAGUAUGUAUCACAGGUUGAAGUUGUGAUUAGCUUACUCCCUCCUAGUUUUCAUGCAGUCAUAGCCAACGCAUGCAUAGAGCACAAGAAGCACAUGGUGACUGCAAGCUAUGUUGAUGACUCCAUGUCAAGGUUGGAUGAAAAGGCGAAAAGUGCGGGUGUUACAAUACUCUGUGAAAUGGGCCUGGAUCCUGGCAUAGAUCACAUGAUGGCAAUGAAGAUGAUCGACCAUGCACAUGUCGGGAAGGGGAAAAUAAAAUCAUUUACUUCUUACUGUGGUGGACUUCCAUCUCCUGCUGCUGCAAACAAUCCGCUAGCUUACAAGUUCAGUUGGAGCCCAGCUGGUGCAAUUCGUGCAGGGCGGAACUCAGCCACUUACAAAUCUAUGGGGAAGAUUGUUCAUGUUGAUGGAAAUGAACUUUAUGACUCAGCAACAAGAUUUCGCAUACCAGAACUUCCAGCCUUUGCUUUGGAGUGCCUCCCAAACCGGAACUCAUUACUAUACGGGGACUUAUACGGAAUCACCAAUGAGGCAUCAACCAUAUUUAGGGCCACCCUCCGCUAUGAAGGUUUUAGUGAAGUAAUGGCAAGUCUAGCAAAAAUUGGUUUUUUUGAUGCUGAACCUCAUCCCAUGUUGAAAGGUGGUCAAAGACCAACAUUUAGUGCCUUUCUAAAUGGACUUCUCAACACCAAACACUCUUCUCCAGUGAAUGGUAACAACCCGGAAGGAUCAACUGGAGAUGAAAAGGAAAUGGUUAAGAGCUUGAUUCUGAGUGGGCACUGCAAAGAAACGACGACAGCAGUGAAGACGAUCAAAACUAUCAAGUUCUUGGGACUUCAUGAGGAUGAGGAAAUCCCGGUGGCAUGUUUGAGUGCAUUUGAUGUUGUGUGCUUGCGCAUGGAACACAGAUUAGCCUACUCCAGCAAAGAGCAGGAUAUGGUGCUUUUACAUCAUGAAGUGGAAGUGGAGUUUCCUGAUGGCAGACCCACUGAAAACCGCCAGGCUACCCUGCUAGAAUUCGGAAGGGUGCAAAAUGAUGAAACAACAACUGCAAUGGCUCUUACAGUUGGGAUUCCAGCAGCAAUAGGAGCUCUGCUCUUACUUCAGAACAAUGUCCAGAGGAGAGGUGUAAUUAGACCUCUCGAACCAGAAGUCUACUUGCCAGGGAGCUAAUGAAAGAUCGUAGGGCAGAGAAUAGCGUUCGGAGGGAGGGGCAUCAGGUAUCCUGCUGUGCUGAACAGCCAAAUGUGAAACUCGAUCUUGAUUGGCUAAUUUUAUGUUAAAGCACCAUUAUAGCUCAACAAAAUGUCAAAAAUCACAAAUGUUGGAGUUAUAUAGAAGUUUCAUGGAGCUACCAACUUGCUAGUAAAUUUUCUUGACAGUUGUACACAAGACCUAGAUUCAAAUGCCACAAGUUAUAUGUUCAAAUCCCACCAUUUUCAGAGUUUGGGAAGUUAAAAAGGUGAAGGCAAUAAGAGCAAGAAAACAUGGAAAAUAUUCCUUGCUCUUCUGGAAAAGAUUUUCAAAGAACCUCAUCUUCGCGUGGGGUACUUGCAACAAGACAACAAGGGCUGCAUGCAUUCCAAAUUCAAAACAUGGUGAAGCUUCUGGGCCAAUAACUAGAAGAAAAGAAAGAGAAGGUCCCAAACAGCAUAACAGAGACCUAUGCUUCACUGCUGCAAGAGCCAAGAGACUGCUUGCAUCAUGUAUCUAGGCCAGAGUUUUGGGCUAAUUUAUCUGGAAACAUGAGAUAAAUGGCUAAAUGCUCACCAAACAGUAAUCCUGAGGGAUCGCAGAAUUGAUUCAACUCUCUUCUUCU